rnacentral:lncRNA from 1 species
UCUUUUUCGUGAUUACUCACUUCACUCGUUUCUUUUACAGACUCUCUUUCUUUUUCACUUGAUUUCCUUUCAAGCUCUCUUUCAAUUUCUUUUUUCGCUUUUUCUUUUUCAAUUUUUUUUCAUUCUCAAUUUCUUUUUCAAUUUUCUUUUCUUCAUUUUCUUUUUCUCUCACUUUUUCGAUUUCUUUUUCUUUUGCAAUUUCUUUUUCUUUUUCGUUUUCUUUUUGUUUUCUUUCAAUUUCUUUUUCAAUCUCUUUCUCCUUUUCUCGCUCAAUGGAUUGCUUCAUUUUGAAUUGGUCUUCUUGCACUUGUUCUGGUGUGAGCGGCGCUAAAGUGAUUUUCCUUCCUUGAUGCUUGAAGGAAUACCUAUUGG